CCUACGGGGUGCAGCAGUGAGGAAUAUUGGUCAAUGGACGCAAGUCUGAACCAGCCAUGCCGCGUGCAGGAAGACGGCUCUAUGAGUUGUAAACUGCUUUUGUACGAGGGUAAACGCAGAUACGCGUAUCUGUCUGAAAGUAUCGUACGAAUAAGGAUCGGCUAACUCCGUGCCAGCAGCCGCGGUAAUACGGAGGAUUCAAGCGUUAUCCAGAUUUAUUGGGUUUAAAGGGUGCGUAGGCGGUCGGAUAAGUUAGAGGUGAAAUUUCGGGGCUCAACCCCGUCGUGCCGUUGAAACUGGCGUUCUUGAGUGAGCGAGAAGUAUGCGGAAUGCGUGGUGUAGCGGUGAAAUGCAUAGAUAUCACGCAGAACUCCGAUUGCGAAGGCAGCAUACCGGCGCUCAACUGACGCUCAUGCACGAAAGCGUGGGUAUCGAACAGGAUUAGAUACCCGUGUAGUC
rnacentral:rRNA from 1 species